rnacentral:lncRNA from 1 species
CGGAACGUAGCCUGGAGCUGCGAAGCGCCGGCCAGGAUUUGAAAACCCGGCGUUGUAAAGGAUGAGAAAGGCCAAAUGCUGAAUGUCCGCUGGACACUAAUGGCAGGGGAAGCGCGCGGAUGGUGAAGUUGGUCGGGGAGACGGGGAAUCGCUUCGCAACUCUGACUCUAGCUCUGAGAGGAGGGGCUGGGAGAGAAAUGGCGAAGCAAGUUCUAAAACCUGUGUGCUCUGGUGGACUUGAGUACAAGGUCGAGAGUUCUCUGUGGGCCCUGUAAGGCCCUGAUGGAGGAGAAGAUAGGGGCCCGACUCUGGGCCUCCGAGGUCAGAGAAGGCUUGGGAGCCUGCAGUUCUCUAACCGAGGGCGAUUGCCUUUCGUUGAGCAUCCCUGAGUGCCAGUGACUCACUUUGCGCACAUUUAUCAGUCUUGGAUUGUGUGCCAGCUUCACAUCAAGUCUGAGUUAUCGUUCUUUUACUAUUGAGGUAGCUAAGGGUCCGGGCAAUUUAUUGUCCUGGCCAAGACCUCUUAGUAAAUAUAGUGUCGGGAUUUGCACUCGAAAUGGACGUGUCCUGAAAGCCUGUGCUGUGUCUACUAUAUCCAAGUGCUAGUUGAGUUAUAGAAGAGGGGGCCUGUGCCACCGGUGUUGCAAAGUAAAAUGCAAGAAUAUCCCUUACAUUCUGCCUUUUUUCCAUUUAAGAAACCAUCAUGGGGCAAACAACUUGCCCUCUGGCUACAUGGGCUGACAGACAUUACCUGGAGACUUUAUCUCUCCACCUCCUAGGUUUUCAAAAAGGCAAUACGUGUGUGUUGACAGUAAUAUUCAAAGGUAGGUAUUAAAAAAUUGCCUUUGAGUAGGAUCCUCUAAUGUGACUUCUUUGUGGAUUCAGUUUUCCUUAUGUUAAAAAAAAAAAUCAGGCUACAGAAUUUCUAAACACCCUUCCAUUUUUACUAUCCUGUUUUUCAGUUACAUUCAAUAGUAGAAGAAAAGUGGCUCUGGAAUUAGAUUUUAGUGCCAGCAGUAUGACCUCAUGAUUUGUAAUUGAGGUUAAUAAUUGCAUAGUUAGUCUAUUGAACGACCGAGGA